CCAGCCUGGAAGAGGCAGCCAUGGUAGUGACACCCUGUGAUCCCCACCCUUCCUGACUCUAGCUGAACUUGCUAAGAGAGUGCAAGGUCCAAAUACAGAGUGUUCCAGGCUAUUCCUAUGUUCUUCACCAACCUGUGAGCAAAGGGAACACUGGAGAGGGAGGGAGUGAGGACACACCCAGCAGAGUCACUGUGACUGGAGGAGGCCAAACGCCAUGAGCUGUCAGCAGACAGGAUCUCUCAUCCUGAAAUUGUCUCCUCAGCCCCAUGCCCAGUCCACUCAGUUGGAGCUUUCUCGGAAUCCAUUGCUGAUGAUGCCCCUUGGAGAAUUCUGAUGAUUUGGGGUGAGGAGAGGCACCACAUCUGGAA
rnacentral:lncRNA from 13 species